AAAUUGAAGAGUUUGAUCAUGGCUCAGAUUGAACGCUGGCGGCAGGCCUAACACAUGCAAGUCGAACGGUAACAGGAAGAAGCUUGCUUCUUUGCUGACGAGUGGCGGACGGGUGAGUAAUGUCUGGGAAACUGCCUGAUGGAGGGGGAUAACUACUGGAAACGGUAGCUAAUACCGCAUAACGUCGCAAGACCAAAGAGGGGGACCUUCGGACCUCUUGCCAUCGGAUGUGCCCAGAUGGGAUUAGCUAGUAGGUGGGGUAACGGCUCACCUAGGCGACGAUCCCUAGCUGGUCUGAGAGGAUGACCAGCCACACUGGAACUGAGACACGGUCCAGACUCCUACGGGAGGCAGCAGUGGGGAAUAUUGCACAAUGGGCGCAAGCCU
rnacentral:rRNA from 1 species